CUGGUACAGAGUGGUUUUGGAUGAAGCUCAUACCAUCAAGUCCUCUAAAACUCUAGGUGCCCAGGCUGCCUUCAAAUUGUCAUCCUAUUGCAUGUGGUGUCUUACUGGUACCCCUCUUCAGAACAAGUUGGAAGACCUUUAUAACCUACUUUGCUUCUUGCAUGUUGAACCAUGGUGUAACUAGGCUUGGUGGCAAAAACUGAUUCAGAAGCCAUAUGAG